AUGUCUAAAUUUUUUCUUUCUCUUUCUAUUAAACCUUUAUUUUCUUCAUGGAUCUUAGCUUUCAUUUUCUCUCUUUCUAAAGCGGUAGGAUCAAAAUUGCCUGUGAUUUGCCCACUUCCUUUAUCAUCAACUACAGAAGGGCUAACAUUACUCGUAGGUGGCAUAACACCCAUUUUUUUUGAAAAAUUAGGAAAAUUCAUUUUGUUAUAUUCCUCAUUAAAUUUUAUUCUUUUUUUUUUUUUUUUUUUUUUUUUUUUUUUUUUUUUUUUUUUUUUUUUUUUUUUUUUUUUUUUUUUUUUUUUUUUUUUUUUUUUUUUUUUUAAAUAUAUCCCUGUUAUUAGAAAUGUAUUCAAAUGUUACAUGUAACAGUAGUUCUGCAGUUCUCAUGGCUUGGUAUGUAAAUGCGUUACCAACUGGUCUAGUACAUUAUUACCACUGUUUUUUUUAAAAAGUUAUGAAAACAUAAAAAAAAAAAAAAAAAAAAAAAAACAUAUAUGUAUGUAUGUAUGUAUGUAUGUAUGUAUGUAUAUAUAUAUACAUAUAUAUAACAACAUUUUUAUAGAAACUAUAAAUUUUGUUUUAUUGUAAUUUAUGUUGUUUCAUUUUAGCUAUCCUUUGGUAACGUAUUAUGGUGAGCAAAUAAAUGCUAGUACUUUUUUUUUUUUUUUUUUUUU
rnacentral:lncRNA from 1 species